CAUAACGGUCAUAGCGGAGGAGUUACAUCCGAUCCCAUCCCGAUCUCGGAAAUUAAGCCCUCCUGCGAU
rnacentral:rRNA from 1 species